rnacentral:rRNA from 1 species
AACGAACGCUGGCGGCAGGCUUAACACAUACAAGUCGAACGCCCCGCAAGGGGAGUGGCAGACGGGUGAGUAACGCGUGGGAACAUACCCUUAUCUUCGGAACAACUCCGGGAAACUGGAGCUAAUACCGAAUGUGCCCUUCGGGGGAAAGAUUUAUCGGAUAAGGAUUGGCCCGCGUUGGAUUAGCUAGUUGGUGGGGUAAAGGCCUACCAAGGCGACGAUCCAUAGCUGGUCUGAGAGGAUGAUCAGCCACAUUGGGACUGAGACACGGCCCAA